GGGUCCAUAGCUUAGUGGUAGAGCAUUUGAUUGUAAAUCAAGCGAUUGUUGGUUCAAACUCGGUUGGACCCU